AGGAAGUGUCCGGCCUUACAGCCCUGCACUGCUCGCUGCCAUGGUCUCUUGUUGCAGGGCAUUUACUUUGCUUGUGCCAGGUCUGGGUUCACCAUUGGAUUUAUAGCACCUUUCAGGACUCAUAAAAUGCUUGAGGCCUCAACGUUAUUUCCCUUCACUUUCCACAGAAGAAAUGCAAGUCAGUAAUUAGUCCAAGAUCACAAAGCUGAUGGGUGUACAGUCAGCAUUUGAACCCAGAACUGCCUGGCUCCAAGGCUUGUGCGUUUAACAUCCAGACCAGCCACAUGUAGCUACCUAAAUCCCAGUUAAUUAAAAUUUAAUAAAAUGAGUCACAGUGGCCACAUUUCAAGUGCACCAAUAGCUGUACAGGGCUGAUAGCUUCUGUACUGGAGCCACAGGUAGAACAUUCUUUUGGGCUACACGGCUUAUUCUGCUGCCUCUCUGCCAACCACCCCUGCCUGUCCCAGCCUCAGCCCAGAAGCAAUGACCAGAGUGGUUAAGUUUAGAGUUUUCCUCUCAGAACCCAGCUAGGUAUUUUCCUGAUACCUGUUGGGGAAACUUCUAGUCUUCAGGAUGGAAAUUGUUACCCCUAAAAACUUUUCUCUAAUAAUCACUCCCAGCAGUAGCUACUCAUUGCCAGCACUGGCCAUGCUCAACACCCAUCAACUCAUUCAGUUCUCACGAUAACACCACCAAGUAGGCACUGUAAUUCCCUGUUUCACGAACCAGGCAGUGGAGGGUUAUAAGAGUUCAAUAACUUGUUGAAGGUUGCACUGCUUUCAAAGCCAGGAUAUCAGCCCAGGUGUGUCUGUUUCUGACAUCCACACUUUUCUCAUUACAUUUCCCAAGGCUUGGUUUGCUGGGUUCUGCCCCAAAGGGUUUCUUCCUUUCUGCCUGGGGCUUGAGAAAAUCCAGAGUGCCUAAUGAGACCCAUGUGUUGGUGAGAUCCCACCUGCUUUCAGUUUCCCCAGGCCAGUGGAAGGAGUCUACAUCAGUGCUUGGCCUCUGUCCUAUCCUUGGGCUGCCAACCACUCCCCUGCUGGCUGCCAAGGCUUUGAGAGGAGGCCAGACGCAAGCUCACUCUCCUGCUUGGGAACCUCUUGAAGUGUCCCUCUUGGACUAUUUUAGAGUGACAGGGACAACAGGACAGAGGUGGGCAUGCCUGGUGCCCACAGUGUGGCCGACUGAGUUGCUGCUACUUGCUCUGCCUCUCUGCUCCCUGGGUGACCACUUCCUGUCAGCCUCUGUUCUCCCAUGGCCUGGAAGGUGGGAGUGGAAGGAGGAAAGGAGGGGGAGGGACAUUCCAUCUGGAAAGGCCACGUGUGGGAAGUUCCAGACAAAUCCCAUUUUUUGUGAAUGGGACCUGUCUGUUCACCUCAAAGGCAACAAGCCAGGUAUUUUGUUAGUCCUACAAACAGGGAUUGGCAGGUUACUAAGCAAAGGUUACUUAACAUGUCAAGCACUCCAGUUAUGUUUAGGCUGAUGUAAACAUCUUAUCAGCAGAGCUGAAACUUGGCAUUUGCUGCUGGAGUUGGAUUCCUAAGGGAAAGAAAGCAAUCACAUCAUUAUGCAACUGAGAGUGAGGGCUGAGGAAUGGUAGCUUGUCCAAGCUAAUUUCCUGGCCAGGUCUUCUUUGCUUCUGUGGACCAGAAAGUCUCCUGGAUGCUCCAGGCAGGAACAGGGUGUGGUGGACAUGGACCAUCUCCUGAAAUGUCUUCUGAGGCAACAUGUAACUGCCCUUACAAGAUUUCUUCCUGUCAAGUCCCAAAUCUACAAUCUGAAAACCAGGAAAGAUGAGGUCUUUCAAAGAUAUUUUAAAGUCAAAAGAUGUCCACUGCUAAAUGGUGGUUCAGUGCAGCUCAGCACAAGGAACUGAAGACUUGUGGUUUAGAAUGGUCCAUUUGCCCAAGCUGACCAGAUCAGACUGGGCUUCCUCCAUAAGAGAUGAUGCAAUGGUCACACCCCCAGUGGAGACUGAAAGGGAAUGAUGUAAAUCACUGCAUGAAGGUCAGGGUAAGAUAACAGAAGUUUCCCCACACUAAGGUUUCCAGCAAGCCUCCUCUGCGGUUUAGGGAACUUGUAUGAUCACCUCCAGAUACUGUGCAGCUGUUGGGCUGAGCCAUUUUCUUUCAAGACUAUGAGUUGGGCUUGAAGACAUCUGAAAGUCCUCCUAGUCACUGAUUAUCACAGAAGAUAACUUGCAUUGUGAGAGGGCUUCAAGGAUUCUGUGGUUCAACAUUGCUUUUUAGAGUCCCCAGUCCUGGUCCUGCUGAUCUCUUCUCCUCUCCUCUCCUCUUCUCUCAUAAGAAGUGCUGCCUUCCCCACCAUCUCCCACUCCAAAUUGGCUCAUGCGAGAAAGAAGGGCAGGAGACUUGUUUUGCAGGGCAUCCCAGAGUUCUCCAGGAGGAAGGACCACUAUGCCUGGGCCAGGUAUGUUAGCUGAAUCUGUGAGUGUCUCACUCUCCACUCAUCCAUGGCUUACAGUUGUGUGGGGAGUAGGCCUGGGAGCCAGUCAAGGAAAAGGUCAGAUGGUUUGCUCCACCACCUGGCAUCUAUUUAUACCUUCCUGCUCACCACGUAAGUGUAGGCUGUGUGCUCAAGAAUGUGAAUGAGAUCCUGCCCCACAUGAACUGGGGGCCCCAACAUGAGAGGCAACCUCCAAAAACCAUAUCAGGUUGGAAAAAGCCCAUGAUCUGCCUGGCCAAGAAUGGCCAAAGAUCACUGCUCUUGAAUGAAUGGGGAUCUCAUGCCCUUAACUCUUGUUAAGGAAAGAAGAUGUUUUGGAAGGCAUCUCCUCCUCUGCUGGUGUCCCUGGAAGGCCCUGGCUGCUGGCUGGGGCAUGGCCCUCUUUGAGAUACGAACAAGGAGAUUUCUCACCCAGAGCUCUGGUGGCAGCCAAAGUCAAGCUUUGUGGGAGUCUGAGGGACCACCUCAGGUGGUGAGGCACUUCACCAGGCUGAGAUGCCGAAUGCAUUUCUGGAAGCUCCUCUCCUUCUUCUGGCUGGAGUUUGACUUUCUGAUCCUUGCUCAUUUGCUUGUCACACUACAGGCCCUAAGGUUUCCCUCUAUGGCCUGCCCGGGGAAGCUGGGAGAAGAGUGGCAAUGUGAAAACUCACCUGGUACCAUUGCUCUACCUUCCUGGUAUUUCUGUAGGGCCUGAGGUAGUGCUGGGGAGAGACAGUGGAGUUGCAAAGGAAGAGGAAAGGAGCAAGAGGAAGAAAUAGAUUUGCAUGAAUAUCCUUCAUCUUGCCAAACAGCACACUCUUAUACAGAACUGAAAGGAGUCAGCCUUAAAUACUAGGAGCUGGGGAAAGCUGAAGAAGGGCUCUCUGCCUUGUGGGGCAGCAAAGCUAAAACAUGGUGGCUUGUACUCCAAGGGCAUGUGGCUAUCCCAUCAUCCCUGCUCUGAUGAAUGCUUUCCAGCAAGGCUAGCAAUGGCUAUGAUUUGUUGAGCACCUACUAUGUACUGGGCCCCAGAUCAGUGCUUUCCAUGUAUGGUUGCAUCCUUAAGACAAUGUCAGACUUGGGGAUAACUGCUUCUAUUUUCUUGGUGAGGAAAAAGGUACAGAGAAAUAGAUAACUUGCUCAAGGACACUCAGUUAUUUCUGUUUUCCACCAAGUGUAGUGUCCUGCCCACCACACUACCACCCAUCUUUGCUGCUACAAGGAAAGCUGGUGUAGCCAAAACAAAUCCAAAGAAUGAAAGGAAGUGAGGCUGCCUCUGUCAUUGUUUGUGCACACCCACCUUUUGCUACUAAGACAUUUCUUCUGGGAAACUCUCUUUCUUUAGUCAUUCUGACUGCAGCAGACCCAAAGGGUGGAAAAGACUCAUUCUUUUUUUUUUUUUGGUACCAGGGAUUGAACUCGGGACCUUGUGCCUUUGAGGCAGGCGGCGAACCACUGAGCUAAAUCCCUGGCCCAAGACUCAUUCUUUUGCCAGUGGGAAGAACAUAAUUCAUGCACAUGUAACACUUGUCUUUCCCCCUUGAAGAGUGGGAUGGCUUUGGAGCAGGCAGGACCUGUGUCUGUUUGUAUUAUCAUCCAAACUGGGACACUCUGCACACUUACAGACAGUACUAUUGAGCACAUCACAACAGGCAUGAACGGUAUCCAUGCUGGCCAAUUGAGGCUAUUGGAUCACUUCAGGAUGAGGCCUUGUGGGAGACAUUUGCCCUAGAGGACAGAGGUAAGGGGCAGGUAAGAUGGGUGAGACAACCUUUCUCUGAAAUCACCCCCUAAAGCCUGACAACAUGGGGUGCUCUGGGCUGCCUAGGGAAGAUGAGCACCACACUUAACUCAUCUCUGCUAAGAAGAAAAUUCAGAAGCUCCAAUUAUUGCUGAGACUUCCCAGACUGAGCUUAGGGCAUUGCUGAACUCGCCACUCACUCUGUCCUGCUCCAGGUUUCUCCAGGGGACAAGCAGCAGUAGCCAGAUGUUGACAGUCCAUGGACUCUUCCAAGGUGGUCCCCCUUUCUUUCAGAAAGCUCCCUGUGUCUGAGCCCCUUAACUCUGAAGUCAGGUAAGAAGGUGGGAGGCAGGAGGCCCCCUUUUGUCAAGGGAUUAAGUGAACUCAAUUGUAUAGAGUUCUGGAAGAUUUCAUUGUCACUUAGCAGUGGCAGCUAAAAUCAAUCUCGAGCAUAGCUAUUUUUUUCUUGUUACUUUGAAGGUGAAGUCAGCUUCUCAGGAACAAGGCUAACCCUUUGGCUGGAUGUCUUGGACUGCUGGAUUUAAGGACCCAUUCAACAACAUCAGCAAGUGUCAGAGGGUACUGCCACUGAGGUCAUGUUUGUAAAAGCAUUCCAUAAAGCGAACAUACUCAGAGAGUGGCCAAGCUUUCUGGAAGACGGGCUCAUCCUAAAGCAACUGCGUGGGCACUUAGAAUAGAAACAAUUACCCGGUCCAGGUGUCUUGCUACUUCUUAGAGGGAGUAGAUGCUCUUUUGACCAUCAUCACACCUCCAGCCCCAAUUACUCUAAGACAUCCCAGAGUGUCUUGCAGCUGUGCAAAUUUCCAAAACUGGUCUGCCUGGUGGGACAGCACCUCAGCUGUGUCUGUGAUGAAUGUAUCUGAGCUCCUUUCAGGUGGAGCCCCCUGGAGCCAGGCGUGGUGGUCCUGGUGAGAUGGGUGAAGCCCUUGCCUCACUCCUCCCCGCCACCCUCUUGCUUGGGGGCAAGAAUCAGAAGAGGUGGCUGAUGUCUCUCCCUGCUCUCAAGGUGGACAGAAGACCAAAUAAACCAGCGUCGACCCAAGGCUCACAGGGCAGACAGCUGUGAAGGCUCAGUGACAUGCAGUGCUCUGGGAGAAGUCAAUGCCACAAAAGUGUUCAGGGGAGUGUCCCUGGGGUUUAACUGGCCCCUGUAGGAGCCAGAAGAGCAGCCGCUCAGACUUCUCGCCAGCAGCCAGCAGUGCUGCCAGCCCUAUCCAUCGGUUUCUCGCCAGAUCUUUCUCCCUCUGCACUACCCAGUGAGAGCAGGGGGUGGCGUGGGGGGUAAGAUUCUUCUAGAAACAGAAGGCUAACUGCUGCCUCGUCUCGAUUCUUCUGCACAGGUGAUGCCAGUGGGUUUGGUGCAGGCAGAGUCUAGAAUGAGUUGCUAGCCAAGCAUGCCAUCACUGCAAAAGUGUUAACUGGGCUGCUGUGGUGUGCCAGGAUCCGCUGCAGGGAACUGUGAACUCUGGGCAGGUCAGUUCUCUAGUUGGGGUAUCUCUAGUUCUACGCCCCCUAGGGGAAGAAAAUACAGCAACAGCCUUCUCCUGUGUCCCUCUUCUCCUGGAAAGACAUUUGCCUGGUCUUUGGAGGGAGGUACUGGGGCUUAGGGUGACAAAGGCAACUCUUGUUGAAUCAGCACCCUCUUUGCAUAUGGUUAGCAAUGGCCUGGCUGCAACAACCAUGCCCUAGACCCAGUUUUUCCUGUACCAGCUCGUUUGGGAGCCGAGUCUGAGCUGAGGGCAGCUAGGUGGACCCAGGCUGGCUUUGGCUCCUCCAGAGAACUUAACUGCAAGUUUGUUCUACUCCCUGCUCCCUCCCUUUUUCACAGAAACUUCUGUUGCCAGGGCUGAGCCCCCAGGCAGAAAUUCUGUUCCCCUCCCUCAUUGUGCUGGAUGCUGGCACUGCCAAGUUCUGCCAAGGCUGAGCGCCAGGUUGGCAACGUAGUCCAUGCCCCUUGAUCAGAACCAGCUGGGAGCACAGAAGCUGGGCAGCCCCUUUCCAGGUUCAGCUCUCUCCAGACAAUGUCUUUUACUUAUGACAACCCCAGUUCUGUGCCCAAAGGGAACCAGCCACCUCUUUCCAACCCAGCUGCCUUUCCUUGGGAGCCUCUGAGAUCCCGCCAGCAGAACCCCUAGGAAAUGGGGUGGGGUAGGGGCACUCUCCCUAAAUGUGCAGUUUCCAUCCUGUUGGGAGAGGCAGGUGCCCGGGAGAGGGUGUGUUCAAACCCACUUUCAGUUCGGUUGCCAGGAGCUGCAGGAGUCAUGGAGAAGUGAGAGAGGAGAGACCGGGCAUGGGAGGAUAGGAAGCCAGGA